rnacentral:rRNA from 1 species
GACGAACGCUGGCGGCGUGCUUAACACAUGCAAGUCGAACGGAAAGGCCCUGCUUUUGUGGGGUGCUCGAGUGGCGAACGGGUGAGUAACACGUGAGUAACCUGCCCUUGACUUUGGGAUAACUUCAGGAAACUGGGGCUAAUACCGGAUAGGAGCUCCUGCUGCACGGGGGGGGUUGGAAAGUUUCGGCGGUUGGGGAUGGACUCGCGGCUUAUCAGCUUGUUGGUGGGGUAGUGGCUUACCAAGGCUUUGACGGGUAGCCGGCCUGAGAGGGUGACCGGCCACAUUGGGACUGCGAUACGGCCCAGACUCCUACGGGAGGCAGCAGUGGGGAAUAUUGCACAAUGGGCGGAAGCCUGAUGCAGCAACGCCGCGUGCGGGAUGACGGCCUUCGGGUUGUAAACCGCUUUCGCCUGUGACGAAGCGUGAGUGACGGUAAUGGGUAAAGAAGCACCGGCUAACUACGUG